CUACGGGUCGCACCAGUGAGGAAUAUUGCACAAUGGGGGGAACCCUGAUGCAGCAACGCCGCGUGGAGGAUGACGCAUUUCGGUGUGUAAACUCCUUUUAUAUGUCAAGAAAAUGACGGUAGCAUAUGAAUAAGCACCGGCUAACUCCGUGCCAGCAGCCGCGGUAAUACGGAGGGUGCAAGCGCUACUCGGAAUCACUGGGCGUAAAGGACGCGUAGGCGGGUUGGAAAGUCAGGUGUGAAAUCCUACAGCUUAACUGUAGAACUGCACUUGAAACUUCUAAUCUAGAGUAUGGGAGGGGGAGAUGGAAUUAGUGGUGUAGGGGUAAGAUCCGUAGAUAUCACUAGGAAUACCUAAAGCGAAGGCGAUCUCCUGGAACAUUACUGACGCUAAGGCGUGAAAGCGUGGGGAGCAAACAGGAUUAGAUACCCUAGUAGUC
rnacentral:rRNA from 1 species